rnacentral:lncRNA from 13 species
UUAGCAAACCAAAGCAUUUGCCACAUUUUAGACCGUUAACUUAAUAGUUAUAAGAUAUCUCGCUGGCAAACAUUUAGUUGUAUAUGACAAGCUGUAACUAGAUCACCUGGCUUGUGCUGAACAACAGUGAGUGACUCACAAGGCUCUGUUCUCUCGUCAUUGUGUCACCAUGUGGCUAGGGACGACCGAAAAGCUUCAUAAUGAAAAAUAUUAUGUGACAGGUGAAAUGAAGAUCACAUUUGUCUUUAUCUCUUAACGUAUUGCACAAGUUGACUUGAGGGAUUUACUUAAAAAGUAGCUACAGAUAUUCACAUUUAUUAAAAAAAUAAAAUAAAAAAACUUAAUAGAAAUAGUAUUGAAAAACCAUCCCGUGGCUAUUUCCAAAUAACACAUUAUACGGUAUACCAGGCCUAACUGGGACACAGUGUGUCCUACUGACCUAGUACGGCACACUAGGUCAUAUAUGCCGAAUACACAUUUUGGUUGAAUGCAUUGAGUUGUGCAACUGACUAGGUAUCCCCUUUCCCUGUGGUACUGCUUGGCCACUUGAUCUAAUUUCCCAUUGGUAAUGCUAGGUUAGUUGUCUAUCUCUAGAUGGUUGAAUUCUAUUGUGUACGAUGUAUUUUUUCUGUGAUAUUGAGUUCUGCUGGAAGGUCAUCAUGAAGCUUAUGAAUGUCUGCUGCUAUUCCCAUUAACCCUGAGGAGCUAAGGGACAGACACUGUUCAUUCCACUGCAUCUGCUGGAGGUCAUAAGCUGUCUAGUACCACUGUGUGUGUGUGUGUGUGUGUGUGUGUGUGUGUGUGUGUGUGUCUGUGUUUCUGUGAAAGAUGGAUUGACAGGGAUAGGGAUAUAGAGAAGGAGAGAGAUAUUAAAAGGUCCAGAGCAGGUGUGUGACUCAUGUUAUAUUAAACUACAUUUAAAAGUUAUGAGUGGAAAAGCAUCUGGUGAAGACACACAGACCCAUUCAUGCACAUGCACACACAUGCUCACACACACAAGUAAUCCAGCUAUCGGUUGACUCAUAAAUCUAGCCCUUCAAACUGGCGAUUGGAAUCUGGACAGCAUGGGUCAGGAGUCCUGUAGUGAUCAGUCUCUUUUAUGACAAACCAAUUGUCUGCUUGCAUCACAUUUUGGCACCC